rnacentral:rRNA from 1 species
CAGUAGCCGCGGUAAUACAGAGGGUGCAAGCGUUAAUCGGAUUUACUGGGCGUAAAGCGUGCGUAGGUGGCUGUUUAAGUCGGAUGUGAAAGCCCUGGGCUUAACCUGGGAACUGCAUUCGAUGCUGGAUAGCUAGAGAUCGGUAGAGGGCAGCGGAAUUCCGGGUGUAGCGGUGAAAUGCGUAGAUAUCCGGAGGAACACCGAUGGCGAAGGCAACUGCCUGGGCCUGAUCUGACACUGAGGCACGAAAGCGCGGGUAGCAAACAGGAUUAGAUACCCCAGUAGUCCCUGUCUCUUAUAC